GAAACCAUUUAGUUCGAUAGGCAAUAAUUCCUCGAGAAACUUAUUCCCAUUAAGGUCGAUCAAGACGUUUUUCAUACGAUGGCUAACAGGUACAAACUUGCCACUAGCUACUUCGACUAAUAAAGCAUUAUCUAGUCUAUCAACAGGCAAAGCUAGCUUUCUACCAAACUCAUGCGAAAUAAAGGAGUAGUUGGCUCCAGAAUCAAACAAUAUAUGAGCAGGUAAUUCGUUUACGAGAAAGGUACCUGAAGCGACAUCAGCUUCAUCUUUCGCAGCCUCAAGUGUCAUCUGGAAGGCUCUCGCCUUCGGCUUUGGUGGAAUGUUGGGCCUAGCUGCCUCCUUCUUCUUCGGACAGUCUUUCAAAAUAUGCCCCUCUUCAUUACACCCAAAACACAUCCUUUUGUUGUUCGGACAUUCAUUGGCAAAAUGUCCAACCUUUCCACACUUGUAGCAGGUCACAUCCUCGCUACAUUUCCCAAAGUGCUUUUUCUUACACUUAUCACACCACUUUGCUUCGCCUCCUUUUCCUCCAAACUUUUUCGAAUCAGAUUUCGAAAAUUUGCUCUUCUUACUGGAACCAGAUGUUCCUUCAAACUUCCUUUUCUCACCAACCUCAACCUUGACGGUGGUUCUCCCCUUGAUCAUGUUCUCCACAGACUUGGCAGCCCAGAUAGCUGCCUCUAGAGUAAGUGCCUGACGUACCGGCACCUCGUACUCCCAUGGAAGUCCCUUCGCAUACCGAUCCACCUUUGUCAGCUCGUCUGGAACGAUACGCAAGGCAAACUCCAUCUUAUCGGUGAAGUUAUUGGUGUACUCAUCCACUGACAUGCUACCCUUCGUCAAUGUCAAAAACUUGUUCUCCAACUCCAACAGAUUUUGAGCCGAGCAGAACUUGCGCUUGAACUGCACCAAGAACUCUGCCCAUGACAAUUGCAGUGGCUCAUUAGGGCUUAAGGUCUUCCCUAGAGUGUUCCACCAACGAACGGCUCCACCUCGGAAUUGUCGCACGGCAUAGAUAGUCUGCAACUUGCCUCUACAGCCACAUGUCAUAAAGGCUAACUCCAUUUCGGAGAUCCAAUCCAUAACCCCAAUCGGAUCCUCCUUUCCAUUGAAGGUCGAUGGUUUACAAGUCAAAAAGUCCUUGUACUUGCAUCCCAUUCCAUCAUUCCUUCCAUCAUGGUUAUCUUGCCUAACUAUCGGUGGGUUGGCUGGACCAACAGACCCACUGAAGUUUCCACCUUCCGAGUGCCCUUCAUUCAGUUCAGGCUCUUCCACACGAAUCGACAGUUCUUCACGAUUUUGUUGAAGCAACCGUCUAGUUUCAUCCAUCUGACGAUCCAACAUCGUCUGAAUCAUCAAUUGCACACCAGCCAUGGUUAUUGGCUCAGGUGCUGCUGCUACGACAGGUAUUGGCUCAAUCACUGGUGGUUGAUUCCUGUUUUCGUCAGCAUUUCCAACUCCACUUCUUGUUCUCACCAUUUUGAUCUACACCGAAUAAGGUGAAAUUAGAUCCUCAAUCAUGAUAGAUAUUCAAAUCAUCCUUAUCACUCCGAAACGUUUACAUGCUAGUUCUAAUAUCGUAGACGUACGCUUAGAAUCCUACACACAUAAGGUUUCUAGAUCCGGUCGGCAACAGACCAUAGAUCCGAACAAAUAAUAUCAUAUAUGGCAACAUAUAACAUUUAGCACAUAAAGCAUUUUAGGCAACUUUCCUAAAAUAAACUAGUGCUCGUGUCUAAAUCACAACAGACACACAUCUCAAAACUUCACUUAGCAUUCUAAGUUUAAGUCUAGAAAUCCUACAAAUUCCUAGUUCGCUUAAACUAAUGCUCUGAUACCAACUGUGACAUCCCCAAAAUCUCGGCCAGAAAAGACCGAUUUUCAUUUAUGCUUUUAAAUAUUUUCAGAGUAAAUCCUUUUGAUUUGAAAGAGUUGCGGAAUUUGUUCCCAAAAACAAAACAUGAUAAAACAUUGUUUACCGAAGCAUUUCAUAAAAGAAAUGUAUUUUCAUUAUAAUCAAAACUCGGGGUGUCAUGUUCCGAUACAGACCAAUAAGCAUAAACGAAUACAUUACAAGUCAUAUAACAAAUAUAAACAUAUGCAGACUUGUAAACAAAACAACUUGAUGGUUCAUCCAUCUCAUGCCCUUCCGCCACUACCUGUAAUACAAUUUAAAACUGAGUGGGUCAGGCUUGGGAGCCUGGUGAGCAUAUAGGGUUUUCAACCCACAAUAAAUAUCAUAUUUAAUUUUCACCAACCAACAAUAACCCAAUUACCCAUUCCCGUUAUUCUCACUUUAAUGUCCCUAAAACAACUAACAUAAGGGACCUAGUCUAAGAAUAUUUCAUCGGGGCGACAACACAUGCUUCGGGGGUACCUCAGCAAUAUAAGUCAAAUAAGGCAACCAUGAGGGGGAUGGAGUACAGCGAAUGAACACCCAAGUUCAUUAACACCUACAGGUGGCGAACCUGCUAAUGUUUCCACAAGACUGUCUAGAAUAGCCAGUGGUCGUCAUCUAAACUCCGCUAGAUGACUCAAUCAAACAACAACGAGGCCUCUCAUCUGUUUAUUACACACCAACUGUCUACCCAUGUUCUACCCAACAUAUUAGUAGAUAAAAAUAUACAUUUGUAUACAUAGUUUAAAGAAAACCUGUAUAGCAUGCUUUAAUCAACACAUAUAUCACAUAACAGAUGAGGCACACACACACAUAACACAUAUCUCAUAAAGAAAUAAGCAGAUCUAUAAGAUAGAAGAGAGUGAAUACUCAUUCACACAUAACACAACCAAAUAUAUACACAUAGCACGUAUUUUUAUAUAAAAUACUUCGUAUUAUUGUAUUAGAAGAAAUAACUACACACUCACUUGAUCAGAAGAUGAUCGGACAGCACUACGGCUUAUAGAAGUAGUAAUCCACAGCAGAUCUGGAAGAUCUUCUCGAAAAUCGAACUUCUCGCGGGCAGAGCUUCGACUCGGGAACCGCACUUUUCGGGAUCUUCAGGAUCUCGGGACUUGCCUCGGGGCUAGAGUAUGAUACCGGGACUUCGGGGUAGCUUCGGGGGUUUUUGCACAGAGCUUCGACACGAAAACGAGAGGGAAUUGGCAAAAAUACCCGGAACCCUCGCAUCCUAUUUAUAGGAGGCUGGAGCCUCGGAGUACGCGGGGCGUACUGCGUUACGCGGGGCGUACUGCCCAAAACGUCAUUGCUUACGUAUCCGAAGUGCUCGAGUGCGAGUGUCGACAUCCCUCGGAGUACGCGGGGCGUACUCGAGUACGCGGGGCGUACCUCGGAUCAGAUCGGUGACUCCUUCGGAUAAUGCUUCCGAAUUUUGAAUUAAAAAUAAAUACAAAAUGAUUAAUAAACUUCGGAAAUUCAUAACUUCUUCAUACGAACUCCGUUUUCGACGUUCUUUAUAUCCACGCGAAGGUGAGACCACGCUCUACGACUUUCGUUUAGACUCCGUCGGCUAAUUUUGACUUUAUUUUUAUUAAUUAUUUUUAAUAGGCCGGGACAGAAACUUUCGUUAUAAAUUCAUAACUUCUUCGUUUGACGUCCGUUCUCGCCUAACUUUUUAUCGUUUCAAUACCAACAAUGAGAUCUUCGAUUCUCAUUUAGAUUGCUUCGGCUAACAACCGCUCGAUCUCAAAUCGAGUAAAACAGGCUGUAUAUCGCUAAGCCGGAACUUCGAUAAAUCAUAACUUCCUCAUACGAAGUCAGAUUUGGGCGUUCUAUAUAUAUUCGGAAACCUCGUUUCAACUACUACAACAUUAACCAAAGAUAUUAAGUUUAUUUUACACUUAAAUUUUGACGCUUAUUUUUAUUCUUAAUUAAUCAAACCACAUAAUUAAGCAAUUAAGCACAAAACACAUAAUACUCAAAUAAUACAAUCUUAUUAUUUCAAAACGGGUUACAAAGGUUAACCUAGACUAUUACAUUGCUAAAAAUGGCAAGCCCGGAAACACAGGCGUUACAAUUCUCUCCACCUUAGAAUGAUUCCGUCCCCGGAAUCACACAUCAACAAACAAAUGCGGAUAGCGACUCAACAUGUCACUCUCCGUCUCCCAGGUGAGAUUCGGCCCAUUCGUGUGUUUCCAUCGGACAAGCACUAACCCAACCAUUUUGCGUCGCAACUUCUUAGUCUUUCGGUCAACAAUUGCCUCUGGUUCUUCAAUCAACCUUUUGUUCUCAUCAAUUCUCAAUUCAGAAAUUGGAAUUAUAUCGGGAACUUCUCCCGUGAACUUCCUCAAAUAACACACAUGAAAGGUGUUGUGAAUUCCAUUCAGUUCUUCGGGUAAUUCGAGCUUGUAAGCUUGAUUCCCAAUCCUCUGAAGGACUUUAAACGGUCCAAUAAACCUUGGACUCAACUUUCCCCUUUUACCAAAUCUUAUAAGUCCCUUCCACGGCGAGACUUUAAGCAAAACCGAAUCUCCAACCUCAAAAGUCAUCGGUCUUCGCUUCUUGUCAGCAUAGCUCUUUUGACGAUCUUGAGCUGCUAACAUUCUUUCCCUAAUUAUUUUCAACUUUUCAGCAGUUUGAUGAACCAUCUCCGGUCCCAUAAACUGCUUUUCCCCAGCCUCAAGCCAACAAGACGGCGUACGACACUUCUGUCCAUACAAAGCUUGAUAAGGUGCCAUCUUAAUGCUCGAGUGAAAACUAUUAUUAUAGGAAAAUUCUACCAACGGUAAAUGUUCAUCCCAAUUACCUAGGAAUUCCAAGGUACAUGCUCUCAGCAUAUCUUCAAGUGUUUGUAUUGUUCUUUCACUCUGACCAUCAGUCUGCGGAUGGUAAGCUGUGCUUAAACAUAACUUGGUACCCAUUUCCUCUUGUAGACUUUUCCAAAACCUUGAGGUGAAACGGCUAUCACGAUCCGAUACAAUCGUUAACGGAACACCGUGAAGCCUCACAAUUUCCUUCACGUAAGAAUUCGCAAGCUUUUCCAUAGACCAUUUCUCCCUGGCCGCUAUGAAAUGCGCACUCUUAGUGAAUCGAUCAACGACCACCCAAAUCAUGUCGUGACCAUUCUUUGUUCUGGGCAGUUUAGUGACAAAAUCCAUAGCAAUGUCUUCCCACUUACCCAUAGGCACAGGCAAUGGUUCUAAACUCCCGUAAGGUUUCUGAUGUUGUGUCUUGACUCUCGCACAAGUCACACACUCGGCCACAUACUUUGCAACAUCAAGCUUCAUCGUCGGCCACCAGUAGUAGGGUUUCAGGUCCCUAUACAUUUUAGUGCUACCCGGAUGAAUUGAGUACAUGGUUUUGUGAGCUUCUUCCAUCAGAAGAUCCCUAAUUCCUCCUGACUUAGGUACCCAAAUACGAUCUUGGAAUACCUUCAGUCCAUGACCGUUAGUACCAAACACCAACGUUUUACCCAAACGUUCCUCCUUUCGGUCAUUUUUCUCAGAAGCUUCCUCUUGAGCUUUCUUUAUACUUUCCACAAUAGUCGAGACAACUUCAAUUCUCAACGCUCUUGGCCUCUUCCUUUCAAGAUUGACUUUCCGACUGAGAGCAUCAGCAACAACAUUAGCUUUACCGGGGUGGUAAAGUAUCUCGCAGUCGUAGUCUUUAAGUAAUUCUAGCCAGCGUCGUUGCCUCAUAUUCAAUUCUUUCUGAUUAAAGAGGUAUUGGAGACUCUUAUGAUCAGUGAAAAGUUUGCACUUCGUGCCAUAGAGGUAAUGCCUCCAUAUUUUCAGAGCGAAAACUACCGCUGCCAACUCCAAAUCAUGAGUCGGGUAAUUCUUUUCAUGCUCUUUCAGCUGUCGAGACGCAUAUGCUAUCACCUUUUCUCUUUGGGUCAAAACACAACCCAAUCCAACACCAGACGCAUCGCUAUAAACAGCGAAGUCUUCAACUCCAUCGGGUAGAGAAAGUAUCGGUGCCUCGCAUAGCUUCUUCUUUAACUUCUCGAAUGCUUCUUUAUGCUUCUCACUCCAAGCAUAAGUAGCUCCUUUGUGGGUCAAAGCUGUUAAUGGAGUAGCAAUCGAAGAAAAGCCUUGGAUAAACCUUCGGUAAUAUCCGGCUAAUCCUAAAAAGCUUCGAAUCUCCGUGGGACUUUUCGGUUGUUCCCACUUCGUCACAGCUUCGAUCUUCGCUGGAUCAACCAUUAUCCCUUCUUGGUUGACCACGUGACCCAAGAAUUGGACCUCACGAAUCCAAAAAUCACAUUUGGAGAACUUCGCAUAAAGCUUCUCCUUCUUCAAAACUUCUAACACUUCUCGCAAGUGUCUGCCAUGCUCCUCCUGGCUUUUCGAGUAGAUCAGAAUGUCGUCUAUGAACACUAUCACGGAUUUAUCAAGGAAAGGAUUACAAACCCUAUUCAUCAAAUCCAUGAACGCUGCUGGAGCAUUGGUUAGUCCAAACGACAUAACCAAGAACUCGUAGUGUCCAUAUCUAGUUCUGAAUGCAGUCUUCUCGAUAUCUUGCUCUCUUACUUUCAGCUGAUGAUAUCCUGACCUAAGAUCGAUCUUCGAGAAAUAGCUCGAACCUUGCAAUUGAUCAAACAGGUCAUCAAUCCUCGGCAACGGAUAUCUAUUCUUUAUUGUUGCCUUGUUCAGCUCUCUGUAAUCGAUGCACAUUCUCAUACUUCCAUCUUUCUUCUUUACAAAUAACACCGGAGCUCCCCAGGGCGAUGAACUAGGUCUAAUGAAACCUUUGUCCAAUAACUCCUGAAGUUGCAUCAUCAGCUCCUUCAUCUCCGUCGGUGCUAAUCGAUAAGGUGCUUUUGCUAUUGGCGUGGUUCCUGGUAACAAGUCUAUUCUGAACUCCACUUGUCUAUCAGGUGGUAAUCCAGGAAGAUCCUCGGGAAAUACUUCCGGAUAAUCACACACCACUGGAAUACUCUGCAUCACCUUCUUUUCUUUCUUAGCAUCAAUCACGAAUGCUAAAUAUGAUGUACAUCCCUUGGUCAAACACUUUCUGGCUUUCAUUAGAGAAAUGAUUCCAGAAUUCACUCUGCGUUUGUCCCCAUACACCAUAAACGAAUCUUUCCCAGGCGGGUUUACUUUAACUAUCUUCUUCUUGCAUAAAAUUUCGGCAUCAUUGGCGCUAAGCCAAUCCAUUCCCAAGACGAUGUCGAAACCAUUAAGUUCGAUAGGCAAUAAUGCCUCGUGAAACUUAUUCCCAUUAAGGUCGAUCAAGACGUUUUUCAUACGAUGGCUAACAGGUACAAACUUGCCACUAGCUACUUCGACUAAUAAAGCAUUAUCUAGUCUAUCAAUAGGCAAAGCUAGCUUUCUACCAAACUCAUGCGAAAUAAAGGAGUAGUUGGCUCCAGAAUCAAACAAUAUAUGAGCAGGUAAUUCGUUUACGAGAAAGGUACCUGAAGCGACAUCAGCUUCAUCUUUCGCAGCCUCAAGUGUCAUCUGGAAGGCUCUCGCCUUCGGCUUUGGUGGAAUGUUGGGCCUAGCUGCCUCCUUCUUCUUCGGACAGUCUUUCAAAAUGUGCCCCUCUUCAUUACAACCAAAACACAUCCUUUUGUUGUUCGGACAUUCAUUGGCAAAAUGUCCAACCUUUCCACACUUGUAGCAGGUUACAUCCUCGCUACAUUUCCCAAAGUGCUUUUUCUUACACUUAUCACACCAUUUCGCUUCGCCUCCUUUUCCUCCACCAAACUUUUUCGAAUCAGAUUUCG
rnacentral:lncRNA from 1 species